rnacentral:rRNA from 1 species
UACGGAGGAUCCAAGCGUUAUCCGGAUUCAUUGGGUUUAAAGGGUGCGCAGGCGGAAUGAUAAGUCAGUGGUGAAAUCUCUCGGCUCAACUGAGAAACUGCCAUUGAUACUGUCGUUCUUGAGUACACUUGGAGUGGGCGGAAUGUGUCAUGUAGCGGUGAAAUGCUUAGAUAUGACACAGAACACCGAUCGCGAAGGCAGCUCACUAAGUUGUAACUGACGCUCAGGCACGAAAGCGUGGGGAUCAAACAGGAUUAGAUACCCUGGUAGUCCACGCCGUAAACGAUGAUCACUCGAUGUUGGCGAUAUACUGUCAGCGUCUAAGCGAAAGCAUUAAGUGAUCCACCUGGGGAGUACGAUCGCAAGAUUGAA